UACGAGGGGGGCGAGCGUUGUUCGGAAUUAUUGGGCGUAAAGAGCUCGUAGGCGGUCUGUCGCGUCUGCUGUGAAAUCCCGGGGCUCAACCCCGGGCUUGCAGUGGAUACGGGCAGACUAGAGUUCGGUAGGGGAGACUGGAAUUCCUGGUGUAGCGGUGAAAUGCGCAGAUAUCAGGAGGAACACCGGUGGCGAAGGCGGGUCUCUGGGCCGAUACUGACGCUGAGGAGCGAAAGCGUGGGGAGCGAACAGG
rnacentral:rRNA from 1 species